UACGUAGGGUGCAAGCGUUGUCCGGAAUUAUUGGGCGUAAAGAGCGUGUAGGUGGCUGAGUAAGUCGGAUGUGAAAUCCCUGGGCUCAACCGAGGAAGUGCAUUCGAAACUACUUAGCUCGAGGAUGGCAGAGGAAGGUGGAAUUCCAAGUGUAGAGGUGAAAUUCGUAGAUAUUUGGAGGAAUACCGGUGGCGAAGGCGGCCUUCUGGACCAUUCCUGACACUGAGACGCGAAAGCGUGGGUAGCAAACAGG
rnacentral:rRNA from 1 species